UACGUAGGGUGCAAGCGUUGUCCGGAAUUAUUGGGCGUAAAGAGCUCGUAGGCGGUUUGUCGCGUCUGCUGUGAAAACCCGAGGCUCAACCUCGGGCCUGCAGUGGGUACGGGGCAGACUAGAGUGCGGUAGGGGAGAUUGGAAUUCCUGGUGUAGCGGUGGAAUGCGCAGAUAUCAGGAGGAACACCGGUGGCGAAGGCGGGUCUCUGGGCCAUUACUGACGCUGAGGAGCGAAAGCGUGGGGAGCGAACAGG
rnacentral:rRNA from 1 species